rnacentral:lncRNA from 1 species
CUUCUUGCCUCUCAUCCAGAAUGACGAGGACAACGGCCCUGGGUCUCCAGCUGCUCUUGGGAGGGUAGCAGGUCCUUGCCAGCACCCCCAGACCACAAACCACUUUUUGGAAAGCUGAAGAGCUCCUAAGAAAACCUGUCGUUAGCUGUCAUUCGACACGUUGGGCAAAACCCGCAACCAAGCACUUGGAAGGGUGGCUUUAGGAACACUCACCAGACCUCCUUUCUCAUUCUCAUACCCGGCAACCGCGUGGCCCGUCUCAGGGAGCCACCAUCACGUUGGUCUAUCUCUGCACAGCUGCUCAAGUACGGGUUCCAUCCCAGGAAGCCUGAGGAAGCAGGAAGUCAUCUUAGCUGAGGAAACAGACACUCUGAGCAUCCAUUCCCUGUAACCUGCUUCGUUUCCUAGGCCUUCGUACAAAAUCAAUGCCAAGGUUAAAAAAAUCUAACCAUGGGUUGGGAACAAGGCCUGGAUAUUAUUCCAAGCUCUGGCACAGGCAUGCAGUUUGUCCCUGGGCAAAUUCCUUAGCCUGUCUCUGCCUCAGUCUCAUCAUUCACAGAAUGCUGGGUAAGGAAGGGUACUUCCUUCUCGUUAUUAUGAAAGACAAGCUGUGCUUACGUCCUUCUGCAAAAUGGGACGCCGCUUUCCUAGGAAGGGUACCAGUCAAUACCAGGGUAUGUAUCUUAAAGAGAUAAUCAGAUUAAAAGCAGCAUGGAAUAUACAAAGAAAAAUGAUUGAAUUUCCUAGUGGACCAGGCAUAUUGCUGCCCUUUGGGUCCAAACGAAAAAGUAUAUCUUGAAUUACUGAAAUUUUCUCUUUUUUAAAUUUUUUUUACUUUAUUUUUUGUCUUUUUGCCAUUUCUUGGGCCGCUCCCGUGGCAUAUGGAGGUUCCCAGGCUAGGGGUCAAAUCGGAGCUGUAGCCGACAGCCUACACCAGAGCCAGAGCAAUGCCAGAUCCGAGCCGCAUCUGCGACCUACACCACAGCUCACGGUGACACCGGAUCCUUAACCCUCUGAGCAAGGGCAGGGAUCGAACCAGCAACCUCAUGGUUCCUAGUCGGAUUCGUUAACCAUUGCUCCACGACGGAAACUCCCUGAAAUUUUCUUUCUUGCCUCAUCUAAUACAUGACAGAUUCUAAGUGUCAUUCUUACACCUCAUCCAUUAGUAAUUGCUCACUAAAUCGAAAUACUUGCUACUUUUUCUGGUUGACUGUAUCUAGAACAUUUCCCAGUGUGUUUCAUUCAUUAUUGUACUCAACACGUUUGCUGCAUGAAUAGAUGACUGUGUUGCAUGCUUAUACCGCAAAUUAACAUUUUUUCUUCGUUAGGCACUAUGUUUCUAAUUUCUUGUUUUAUUAAGUAAUGCUGCAAUGUACUAUCUUAUGCAUCAAUAUCUUCCCAGAAAUCUGGUUACCUACUUAAAGCUCAAUCACUGUGAUUUAGAAUUUUGUAGAACAAAAAAGGAAAGCAGUAUACACAAAGAAAAAGAAUAUAUACAAGUGAAACAAACCACAUGGUUAGAAAAUCACAAUAAAAAAUCUGUAAAUG